rnacentral:rRNA from 1 species
UCUGGUGAUUUGAGGCGGUGGAACCACCUCUUCCCAUUCCGAACAGAGAAGUUAAACGCCGUACUACCGAUGAUAGUCCUUCGGGGCGAAAGUAGGCAGUCGCCAGUA